rnacentral:tRNA from 1 species
GGGGGUGUAGCUCAGUUGGUUAGAGCAUGCGUCUUAUACACGCAGCGUCCCUGGUUCGAGUCCAGGCACCCCUACCA